rfam:Salmo salar isolate Sally breed double haploid chromosome ssa13, whole genome shotgun sequence.
UGCAUGCAUGACUACAAGUCGCUUUGGAUAAAAAGCGUCUGCUAAAUAGCUUAGA